UGGGGAAUAUUGGACAAUGGGGGCAACCCUGAUCCAGCAAUGCCGCGUGUGUGAAGAAGGCCUGCGGGUUGUAAAGCACUUUAGGUAACGAGGAAGGCUUGGGAGUGAAUAGCUUCUGAGAUUGACGUUAGUUACAGAAUAAGCACCGGCUAACUCUGUGCCAGCAGCCGCGGUAAUACAGAGGGUGCAAGCGUUAAUCGGAAUGACUGGGCGUAAAGCGUGCGUAGGUGGCAAAAUAAGUUAGUUGUGAAAUCCCUGGGCUUAACCUAGGAACUGCAAUUGAUACUGUUUAGCUAGAGUAUAGUAGAGGUAAGUGGAAUUUCCGGUGUAGCGGUGAAAUGCGUAGAUAUCGGAAGGAACACCAGUGGCGAAGGCGGCUUACUGGGCUAAUACUGACACU
rnacentral:rRNA from 1 species